GUAGGUGGCAAGCGUUGUCCGGAAUUAUUGGGCGUAAAGCGCGCGCAGGCGGUUCUUUAAGUCUGAUGUGAAAGCCCACGGCUCAACCGUGGAGGGUCAUUGGAAACUGGAGAACUUGAGUACAGAAGAGGAAAGCGGAAUUCCACGUGUAGCGGUGAAAUGCGUAGAGAUGUGGAGGAACACCAGUGGCGAAGGCGGCUUUCUGGUCUGUAACUGACGCUGAGGCGCGAAAGCGUGGGGAGCAAACAGGAUUAGAUACCCUGGUAGUCCACGCCGUAAACGAUGAGUGCUAAGUGUUAGGGGGGUUUCCGCCCCCCUUAGUGCUGCAGCUAACGCAUUAAGCACUCCGCCAGGGAGUACGGCCGCAAGGCUG
rnacentral:rRNA from 1 species